rnacentral:tRNA from 1 species
UAAGGAUUUAAGUUAAAUUAAACUCGUAGCCUUCAAAGCUUCAAAUAAAGAAAAUCUUUAAGCCUU